rnacentral:rRNA from 1 species
GCAGUAGCCGCGGGAAUACGGAGGGGGCUAGCGUUGUUCGGAAUUACUGGGCGUAAAGCGCACGUAGGCGGUUUUGUAAGUCAGAGGUGAAAGCCCGGAGCUCAACUCCGGAACUGCCUUUGAGACUGCAUCACUUGAACGUCGGAGAGGUGAGUGGAAUUCCGAGUGUAGAGGUGAAAUUCGUAGAUAUUCGGAAGAACACCAGUGGCGAAGGCGGCUCACUGGACGACUGUUGACGCUGAGGUGCGAAAGCGUGGGGAGCAAACAGGAUUAGAUACCCCGGUAGUCCCUGUCUCUUAUAC